rnacentral:piRNA from 1 species
UCAAACAUAGAAAUGAAGUGGCUUGGC